CCUUGAGUACCAUUGUAUUUAGUAUCUGUCAGCCUCUUCUUUUUUUGUGUCCCUCUAUGUGCAGAGUCUUUGGAGGAAAAAAGAUGGGGUGAUUGAAAAUGACUUGCUCUUCCUUCACGCCACCACACACUCAGCCUGAGUCUCUACAUCUCCACCCACCAUCUGGACCCUCCAGGGCUCCUCUCCGCCCCAUCCCUGGCCCGUGCCUAGGCUCCCCUCUCUCUCCUGGGGCUGAGGCGCUGCCGUGUCUGGACACUGGCCCUGGAGCUCUGAAAUUACACAAAAAAAGGCUUCAACCACAGAAUCUUCACUGAAAGUCUCUGGAAUGUUCUGGAGGUGCUUUGAUCGCCUGCCUGCCUCUCUCACUGCACGCAACACAAGCAUCCCUGCAUGCAACAUGCACUUUAUCAUUAUUGAAUUAUAUGAUGUAAAAUACAGUCAUUUGGUGCUGCGUGCAACAUGCACUCAUGACACACUGGUUCCCCUCUCACAAAUACACGAGCGAUGGAUGUCAACACAUUCUGUUACACCCCACCCUAAUGUGGCCUUGUAGGGCUAGCAAAAUUCCACCAUUGACCCAAACAUAACAGAGAAAGACACCUUCAAAAUAUUUAAAUCUAUAAGAUUUAUUGCAAUCAAACAUUUGAAAUAUACCAAUAUCAAUCAUAGGCUGAGAGGCAGAAACACAGGAGUCCCCACGCCAAAGACCUCUCUCUUCUGCUGCUGGAACUGGAGCUUUUAAGACCUUCCUGCAGGUGCACCUCGUCACGCACCGCGUUGCAGCAACACAGCACACCUGGGCCGAGGGAACACACACAGCCAUGACACCCCCACCUUUAAAACAAUGAGUAAAUAGAAACCCCAUGAUAUUAUGAUAUAAAAACAAAUGUGCAUUAGAUCACACAGGUGUUUCAGGCCGGGGGGAGUUACAUGCACACAAACCCAUACAGCACACUACAGCUGAGGGAAAACCUCACAAAGCAUCAUAGGGCCUCUUAUAAAUGUAAAGCCCUUGUACUGCUGAUCAUGUCUAAAGAGUGCCAGAAACAUUUAAAGGUCUCCUAUUAUGCACUUUUUCAUCAAAAUAUUAUAGGUCUAAGAUAUUGACAAAAACAUCGGUGCGAAAUGCCAAUCAGAUCGUUCAUUGUAGCAUGCCCCCUCUGUUUCAGCCCUGUUCCAAAAGUGCUGAUUUUCUAGCUUUAAAUGCAAAUGAGCUGCUGCUCACUACGACCCUCUGAAAAGUGUUUGGUAAAAAAACAACAACACAAUGGUGCUAUAGGAGGAGAUUCAGGUGAUAAGGGGGGUGGGUGUUACCUUAGUUGGUUAUUGACUAAUGGUUGCACAACCCCAAAAACAUUUGUGACAUCACAAAAUGAGGAAAUCUGAUUAGCUAAUUUUCAGAUUUCAGGUUUUUAUAUACAUGGAUCAAGACAAAAAGAGAGAGAAUCUUUUUUCCUGAAACUUUCUGAAUCUUCUAACACAGGGGGACACAUAUUUAUGCAUGAAAAAGUGGAUUUUGCACAAUAGGUGAACUUUAAACUGGGAUUUUCCCUGCAUGAUACUUUAGCGUAAACCGAAUACCGAAGAUCACCAUGUUGCAAAGAGAUUUAUUCUGUCAACUAAUUUAAAGUGAGGUCCAGAUUAACUGUAUAUUGGAUUGUCUUCAUAAUGUAUAUGCAGCACUUUAGUGAACACAUAGAGCUGAUUAAAUGUGCUCCGAAUCUGUUUUGUUGUAUUCUAAUUCUCAUGCAGCUCAACACAUUUACCCAUCUUUCAGCCAUCAUGUUUUUAAAUCCACUCAGGCUGUGAUUCAGUGAGGGAGUGUCGGAAGUUCAUGCCCUUGCCAAAGGGAACACAUUCUUUGCUUAAAAGUUGCCUUUGUCCCUGAUCCUAUUUUUAAUAUGCUUCUUUUAUGAAUGUUUGUCCACACCCCAAGUGAAUGAGAAGCAAUAAAAAGGAACAUGAUGUAAAACCGCACAUCAAUGUUCAAGACAAAACAAGUCAUUCGUUUUGAAGAUCAAAGGGAAAUUGAACUAUUAAAGAGUGGGAAACAGAAAUGA